AAAAAUACAAAAAUUAACUGCAUGGUGGCAUGUGCCUAUAGCCCAGCUACUCUGGAGGCUGGGGCAGGAGGAUCACUUGAACCCAGGAGGCGGAGGUUGCAGUGAGCCGAGAUCAUGCCACUGCACUCCAGCCUGGGUGACAGAGUGAGAUCCUGUCUCCAGAAAAAAAGAAAGAAAGAAAGAAAGAAAGAAAGAAAGAAAGAAAGAAAAACAAUUAACUUUGAGUCACACAUUGAGUACGUAGGAGUGAGAGAGCCACAGUUUCCUCCAGGUUUCUCUAGCCCCAAAGCCCAUACCUUCCUUUGUACCCUCUAAGACGGUGUCAGCUAAAGGUCCCUUGAAACCUCCAUCACCUUAUUAAUAUCAUGACUCUAGGUCCACAGAACGAGGGGAAAGGGUCACUGUGGAUCAAGCCAGGCUCCUCUGAGCAGUCCAGGGUCUAUUUACAGAGAGCAGCAAGUUCCUGGGACAGAGGAGACAGAAGGGAAUUUCCAGGUUCUUCAGGACGUUCACAACCACACUGAGAAGCAUCUUUGCAGAUAAGUAUUUAAACUUACCAGCCCAUAGCCUACCAGCCUGCCCUCUUCUGGUCUGUGCAGGAAAGUGUAGUAUCCUAGAAUGCCAAAGUGGGAGGGGAAAUGGGUGAUGUAGCUCAUUCUCUUUUCUACCUCUAUGGAAGAAAGAAAGAGCCUGUCCCCAUUUUGUGGGGUCCCAGAAAGGGUGAUUUUCACACUUCACAUUUGGCGUUAGGGCUAGUAUUUCACAAACAUUACCGUCUGGAACUUUUGAAGGCUGAGUUAAAUGACUUCAUCUUGUGUACUUGUAGAACUGCUAUUAGAAGGAGGCUGGGGACUCCCUGAUGAUGUGAACCAGCCCUUCUCUUCUCAGUUUCAGCACUUUGUGAUCAUAUUUAUAAACCUUGGACAGGGCUCCUUGGCCUUAGAGUUAAGUGAAGAGUUAACACUGUGACUUUAGAUGCAUUUUUCUCAGUGUAAGUGUCUGAGCUCAUCUCCAGUUCUGGACUCGUGCCCCCACUCCCGGGUGCUGACAGCAAGCUCUGAAGAUAUGCUGAGAGAGCUCCCUGACUCUCCUGACUCAGGUCUGCCAGUUGAUGAAGACAGCACAGUUGUUACCAAAAACAAAACCUGGCAGAUGGUCCUAGGUCAGGAUUAGUGGUCAUUCUCUGGUCUUCUCCAGACUGGUGACACAGGGUGGUCUUAAAAGAGUCCUAGUCCAGCCUCUGGCUCCCCGAAUUUCCUCUGGUGCAUGGGGCAUCAGGAAAGGGCAGGGGAGAAGGAGGGGGAGCAGAAAAAUAACUGAGGCUGGGCAGAAGGGUCCCUUCCAUUUCCCAUCCAUUGCUUCAAACAAUGGGUGAUUACCGUGCACCUUGAGUGAAUGUCAAGGCAGGAAGGGUUCCAGGGCCACCCAGUGUGGCAGGAGCAGAGCUGGGAUCAGAAUUCUGGAUUCCUGACUCUCCGUUCAGCUGCUAUUCAGCUAUCACCAAGCUGCUGAGUUUGUCCUACUUUCUCCUGGGUCACAUUCUGCUGUUGUUGGGAAACAGGGAGUGAGUGAAGGGAACCUGGGAACCCUUCUCCCCUCACCUUUUAAGGAUGUUCUGGGGUGGAAUAAAGAGAGGUGGAGGGUGGGGUGCCUGGGCCCAGCCUCCCUGGCUCCUGGUCCUUCUUUCUUCAGCAGGGAGUUCUGGCAAGGCCUGGGCCUGGGGAGGGGGCCUGGGUGCAGUUUUCUCCUGCGGUGUGGUUGGCUCUUUUGUCUUCCAGGAUGGGCCUGUGGGGUCUGUGUGGGGAAGGAAGGAGCUGGGAGCCUGGGCUGCCUGUGUGUCGGCUGGAUGCUGCCAGGUGGCUCCAUCUGGGCCGCAUCUCCAGGACUCCUGGCCUGGACUUCUCUUUGGACCUCGGGUGACCUUGGAUUCUGGCCACAGUGACUUAGCGGUCAGACUCCGGUGGUUUUCUAGCCCGCUGGGUGACUCCCUGAAGAUCUCAUCCUCUUCACACCUGUUGGGAUGGAGCCUCCCAUGGAUAGGAACUCUUCCUGGUUGAUGCUCAGCAGAUGACUGAUCUGGCUCUGGAGGACAGCUCCAGGGGUAUGAGGGAGGCCUGGCAGCCCACUACUCCCUCCUCACCUGCUCGGGCCCUGCCUGCUGGGCCCUAUUGUCUGGGUCUGGGGGCCCUUUCCUGCCCCAUGUGAACUUGAUUCCUCCUCGCGUUUCUGCCGGUGACCAGACAGAGCCUGGCCUGGGCCAAGUCCCCACUGACCACACUUUCCCCAAGGCUGGGUCUCAAAGGACCCUACAGGAUGGGGACAGGAACAAGGAUGGGAGUCGGGGAGGGGCUGUCAGGCAGAGGGCAGAUGCAGCUCCUCGGGUGCCGCUGGCUGGAGUCCUUUGUCUCCAUUUGCUCAGUGCGUAAUUGUCAUUUUGUGGGGGACUUCCUUGGUGGGGCUUUUCCAUGCUUUUCCUCUCCCUGAUGGUUACAAAGAGGAGACAGUCAGGAUCUGGGAGGAGCUGGAGCCUUCCCCCUGUGCUGUUGAACUCUGGGAGGGGCAGCCAGAGGGGCUGAGAGUGCACCAUCCUGAAAAGAGAGGGUCUUUAAGAGAUAAGAUUUAGGCUAGGGAAAUUCACUAGAAAGAGACAGGUGGCCCUGGGUUUUUUUUCCUGCCAUCCAAAGGGAACCAGUCUUACCCAAAGGCUUAAGGGGUCACCUUAGCCCAGUCUCAGGACACUCUUCUCCAAUCAGAUCGCUGCUUCUAGUUGCACUGCUCCUGGAUUCUGUUCUUGGGGAACAGAAGGUGGCAGGACAGGCCCCACAAUCUGCAAUUCCAGCUCCCUCCAGAGGAGACAGUCCCAGCGUUUGCAAGAGAGCAGCUUGUGGCCUCCCUUAGGCAAGUUUAAAAGCCAGAUGUCCUUUUUCCCAGAAUGCGGAGUGGUGUGUACUAUUCAUCAGCUUGGGCUGCCACAGCACCAUGCCAGACUGGAUGGCUUAAACAUCAGGAAUUUAUUUUCUGCCAGUUCUGGAGGCUGGAAAGUCCAGAUCAAGGUGUUAAGACUUGGUUUCUGGUGAGGCCUCUCUCCUUGGCUUGCAGGUGGCACCUUCUCACUAUGUCCUCACAUGGCCUUUUCUCUGUGGAGAGGGACAGAGAGCAUGAGCAGGCUCUGGUGUCUCCUCCUCUUCUUAUAAAGACACUAAUAUCACCAUAUUAGGGCUUAAACCUAUGACCUCAUUUAACCUUAACCCCUUAAAGGUCCCAUCUCCAAAAACAGUCACAUAGCAGGCUACUGCUUCAACAUAUGCAUUUGGGGGAGGGGACACCAUUCAGUUCUUAACAGGGUGGUCACCGCAAACAUGGAAAGUCAGAGCCUUCUCCCCUUCAGAAUUCCCGCCCCCACCCAGGGAUGGGGAGGAGGAGCAGAGAGGUAUGGGAAGCAGACACGGAGAGUGGCAGGUACCAUGCUGGGGUGGCUCAGGAGUGCUUCGGAGGACAUAUGGAACUGGCAGGGCUCAGUGCAGGGAGGCGGAGGCCCUGGGAGAGCCGUGUCCUGAGAAGGGCCUGGGCUACAACCCUGGGCAAGUUACUUCACCUCUGAGCCUCCGAUGCUCUGUGAAAUGGAAGGAAUGUGCUUGCCUGUCAGGUGCAGGGAGAAUUCAGUGAGAUUGUGUGCCUAGCACAGUGCCUGACUCCCAGUAGGUGCUCAGCAAAUGCUCCCAUCCAUCUGGGAGUAUAGACUUAGGGUUUAUCUAUUUUUUUUUUUUUUUGGCUCUCUGGACUUUAAAACUCAGCAUCUUCUGAACCAGAGGCAUUUCUGAUUAGCCCUUCCCUACCUAUUUUCCUAGUAUCACUCUUUAAUCAGCUUGGGGAGGUGGCAGCAUUUCAUGGCCUCCGUAGUAACUCACAAUGCUUCCUGGGGUAUUUAAAUUCUACUCUCUCAUCAGCACUGAGCACCUACUUUGGGCCCUUUCCCGUGCUAGCCAUUUGGGGGAAAUAUAGGUGAAGAGUGGCUGGGGUUUGAACCUUUAGGAUUUCACAGCCAUGCUGGAUGGGAUAAAACCAGCUCACAUGGAGAAUCAGAGAAUGGGACAGUGCCACAAAACAGUCUACUGAGGCACAAGUUCUGAGUGCCUGGGAAGUGGUAGAGAGACCCCAGAGAGGGCUGCUGCAGUCUGGAACAGCUUCCUAGCAAGCUGUACCAAACAGGGCCUUGAAGGAUGAGAAAGAUCUGGCUGAGAUGAUACCCGACCCUCUAGGGAAAUUCUUAAAGUAACUUCUAGGAAAUGUCAUUGCUCCUUAAAAAAAAAAAAAAAAAAAAAAAAGCAGGUUCUAAUUCAAAUUCCGCUGCACUACUGAAGUAGUGCAGGACUUAUCAGAACCUUUAAAAUGCUAAUGGCAAUUUCAAAUACUCAGGGACAGGGCAUAGGAUGAAGUGUUCCUUGACUUUUAUGGCCGUAGAAUCUUUUUCUCAUGGAACAUCGUUUAGAACUGUGGGAGAUGCUAGGCUGGGGUUUCUAUGGGAAAAGUACAGCAGUGAUAGAAGAUGGCAUAAUUAGGGUACACUUAGGUGCUUUGUAGCAUUGGCUGAAAAGGAAGCAGACCGGGUGGGCGUGGGGGAGUCUCAACUUGGUUCCAGGAGCCAGGCCAGCUUGAUGCGUUUUUUUUUUUUCUAAUGGUGGGAGGGCAGGCCAAUAGUUGGAGAAACUAGAGGCCUGACAGUCGGUGAUGGAAGAGAUGUCUACUAAGCACGGUUGUCAGAUCUUUUGCGGAGAGAUGCGGGUGUGCGUGUGUCUGUCAGAGUGUAACAGGAUCCAGCCCUCUGGGAAGGGGCUGACCAGAACCAGGCAGGGGGUUUCUGUCUAGGACAAGUAGGGUCCAUUUUCAGGGGAGCUGAAAUAUUUGCAGGGGGUGCUCUGAGACCCACAGCCAAUAAAUAGGGAAGCAACAUGCUUUUGGGCAGGGUCCAUGUGGUUAGGGUUGAUUUUGAUGGGGCUGGGGGGCUUAGAGUUAGACCCCCUGCCCUGGUCAGGCCCCACUCCCUGGCUGGUGGGGGCGGGAGGCCUCUGAAGCUGCAGCUGGAGGGGCCGGGGCAGUGUUGCAUGGUGUGAUUAACCUACUAACCCAGGGCUCAGCCGGGACGCUGUGGCGUGUGACGAGGUGCCUGGCCUUCUGCCAACCAACUAACCCACUAACCAGGCCCGAGCAUGCCCUACUAACCACCCCCCCGCAGCCAGAUCCUACUAACUGUGCAGCUCAUGGGCCUUUCAAGGGGCUGGGAUAUGGGGGCAGCCAAGGCUCCAGAAGGCUCUGCCUAUGGGCUGGGAUCUUUGUGCAGACCCACGUUCCAGGACAGAGAAUGCAAAUAAGACUCACCAACUCUGCCACUUCCUGUUGAGUGAGUUUGAGUAAGUCACCUCACUUCUCUCAACCUCAGUUUCCUCAGUGGUAGAAUGCGAGUUCUGAUACCUUACAGGUUGCAGUGAGGAUUCCCGUCAAUAUAAGGGUCUCAGCACAUGGCAGACACCUAAAAAAAAAAAAAGUAUGAGGAUGGAGGAAGGCCCCUCAAACCUGGUUGAACACGUCUGCUGCCUAGGCCCUGGCCUCUCUGGGUGUUCUGCACACAGAUCCUUCUGCCUGGGGCAAGACACUUGGCUUUGAAUCCAUGUCACUUCCCCACAUUCUUCCUCCGUCUCAGCUUUCUUUUCUGUAGGCAGCUCUUUUGUUCGAUUACUAACCCGUCUAACCCCUGGGGUGCCUCAACUGCACCCCGAUCAUCCCUUAACAAACUAACGGACCUGCGUGCGUUCUUCCUUUUCUCUUAGCGACUCCUGUGUGUGUCUGCUGAGGUGCCCUGUCCGCUGGUGCUGUGCUCUGACUUACUAACCCAGCCCCUACUAACCCUGUUUUCUCUUCUUACUAACCCCAGCCCUGCCGAGCUCUGGGCUCCCCCCGGGGGCUGGUCCCCCUCCUUUUGGCAAGCAGAUGACCUGGGGCUACUGGCCCUGUAGACAGAUGUCCCACUUUGCUGCCCCAUAUUGGCUGUAAGAUCAGAGUCCACUGGGCCAGGUCUAAGGCAGGGGAUGGCCCUAUUAACAAGACUCAGAGGAGGAAGAGGUGGUCCUGUGGAUGUGGGAGGCUGGACUCUGAGUAUGACAUCUCUCCUAUGUGCAGAAGUCUGGUUGCCACUGGGAGUAGGUGGGACCAGGGAAAUCUCUGGGACGUGAGUGUGGAGGCCUGUUGGUCUAGACUCUAGACUGUGGAGCUCUGAGCUUUUGUGUCCUCUGGAAGGAAGCUGGGGAAGAAUCCUCUCCAUUGUUAAGUGACGGGGAUAGAAGCUGUCCUGCACAGGAAGUCACGAGGGGGGCGUAUCCCACGAGGAAGGCAGGAGGGGGCGUGCCCCUCACCGGAAAUUAGCAGAGGGGCGUGUCCCACACCGGAAGUCAGAAAGCGGAGCCUUUCUUACACCGGAAGUCAAUGAAGCGGGUCUUUCCUACGCUAAAAACCACUGAGUGGAGUAUUUAGUACACAGGAAGUCGGC
rnacentral:lncRNA from 1 species